CGCAAUGGGCGAAAGCCUGACGGAGCGACGCCGCGUGCAGGAUGAAGUGCUUCGGUAUGUAAACUGCUUUUAUGAUCAAGAAAGUUUAUUGAUCAGAUCAUGAAUAAGGGGUUGCUAAACUCGUGCCAGCAGCAGCGGUAAUACGAGUGCCCCAAGCGUUAUCCGGAAUCAUUGGGCGUAAAGGGUGUGUAGGCGGUUGUGUUAGUCUUCUGUUAAAUUCUUCGGCUUAACCGGGGGCAUGCAGGGGAAACGGCACAACUAGAGGAUGCGAGAGGUGAAUGGAACUCAUGGAGUAGGGGUGAAAUCCGUUGAUAUCAUGGGGAACACCAAAAGCGAAGGCAAUUCACUGGCGCACUCCUGACGCUGAGACACGAAAGCGU
rnacentral:rRNA from 1 species